GGAAUUUGGGGAAAAAUCCAAAAUAAAUUGGGGAGAAAUCAAAAAAGAAUUUGGGGAGAAUAAGGAGAAAUUUGGGGAGAAAUCAAGAGACAUUUUGGGGGAAAUCCAGAAAAAUUUGGGGAGAAUAUGGAGAAAUUUGGGGGAGACUCCAGAGAAAUUUUGGACAAAACCCCAAAGGACCUUCCCUGUCUGAUUUUUCCCGAUUUUUUCUCUUUUUUGGGAUCAGAUCCGUCCUGCAGGACCUCGCGGCGCCGCCCUGUGGGAGAGGAGAGGGAAAAAUGGGAGAAUUUUGGGAGAAAUUCCCAGCAGAGAGUGAGGCCAGCCCAGCCCUGCGGCGUCCCAGGAGGAAUUCUGCCACGGGAGGUAAAUCCAGUGCCUUUUCCAUGGAAUUCCUUCCAUUUUUCCAUGGAAUUCCUUCCAUUUUUCCAUGGGAAUUCCUUCAGUUUUUCCAUGGGAAUUCCUCCAAUCCUUCCUUUUUCAUGGCAAUUCCUUCAGUUUUUCCAUGGAAAUUCCUUCAAUCCUUUCUUUUUCCCCAGGGAAUUCCUUCAGUCCUUCCUUUUUCCCAUAGGAAUUCAUCCAAUCCUUCAUUUUUCCAUAGGAAUUCCUUCAAUCCUUAAUUUUUCCAUGGGAAUUCCUCCAAUCCUUCCCUUUUCCAUUGGAAUUCUUCCAAUCCUUCAUUUUUCCAUAGGAAUUCCUUCAAUCCUUAAUUUUUCCAUGGGAAUUCCUCCAGUCCUUAAUUUUUCCAUAGGAAUUCUUCCAAUCCUUCCUUUUUCCAUGGGAAUUCCUUCAGUCCUUCCUUUUUUCCUUUUCCUUUUUCCAUCCUUUCCUUUUUCUUUUUUUGGGAAUUCCUCCAAUGUUUCCUUUCCCCUUUUCCCCUUUCCUUUUUUCCCCUUUUUCCCUUUCUUUUUCCUUUUUGGGAAUUCCUCCAAUCCUUCCUUUUUUCCUUUUCCUUUUCUCCAUCCUUUCCUUUUCCUUCUUUGGGAAUUCCUCCAAUCUUUCCCUUUUUCCCUUUCCCCCUUUUUCCCUCCUUUCUUUUUCCUUUUUUUUGGGAAUUCAUCCAAUCCUUCCUUUUUCCACGGGAAUUCUUCCAAUCCUUGGAGGAAAAUUGGAGAAGAGCUGGGAAUUCCCAGAAAUUCCCGGGGAAGUUGGUGAAGAGCUGGGAAUUCGGGUGGAAUUUGGUUAAAAAGUAGUUGGAAUUUGGAUGGAAUUUGGGAUUUGGUUGGGAUUGGGAAGCUCAGAAGCGAAAGGUUAAAGAAAAGCAGAAUUUCGGGAUGAUCCUGGUGUGAUCCCAGAAUUUUGGGAUGAGCCUGGAAUCCAGGGAAUUUUCCAGAGCUCUGGGAGCAGCUGAAAUCCAGGGAAUUUUUGGGGAGGGAUUUGGGGCCGUUCCAGGCUGUGGGAUCGGCCCUGACCCCGCAGCUGUUGGCUCUUAUCAAAGAUUUUCCCAAGUUUUUUGUUUUUCUUGGGAAUAAAGGAUCCGGCACCUGGAGCUGGGGACAGAGUCCCUCCCUGGGGCCGCGCUGGGGGCUCCAGAAACCCAAAAAAUCCCAAAGAAAUCCCAAAGAAAUCAUUUAAAAAGGGGAAAAAAUGUGUGGAGGGGAAGGUCUGGGCUGAGUGUGGCUCUGUGGGAUGGGGUUGGGCUCCAGAAAUCCCAAAAAUCCCAAA
rnacentral:lncRNA from 1 species